rnacentral:rRNA from 1 species
UCAUGCAAGUCGACGAGGUGCUUGAGUAGCAAUACAAGAGUAUCCUAGUGGCGAACGGGUGAGUAACGCGUUGGUGACCUACCCCAAAGUGUGGGAUAACAGUUCGAAAGAACUGCUAAUACCGCAUGUGGUUAUUGGAUUUAGAAACUGAUAACUAAAGGAGCAAUUCGCUUUGGGAGGGACCUGCGUCCCAUCAGCUAGUUGGUGAGGUAAUGGCUCACCAAGGCUACGACGGGUAGGGGACCUGAGAGGGUGACCCCCCACAAUGGAACUGAAACACGGUCCAUACACCUACGGGUGGCAGCAGUAGGGAAUAUUGCACAAUGGGCGAAAGCCUGAUGCAGCAACGCCGCGUGUGCGAUGAAGGCCUUCGGGUCGUAAAGCACUUUUCUGAGAGAUGAGCAAGGACAGUAUCUCAGGAAUAAGUCUCGGCUAACUACGUGCCAGCAGCCGCGGUAAAACGUAGGAGGCAAGCGUUAUCCGGAUUCACUGGGCGUAAAGCGCGUGCAGGCGGUUCGGUAAGUUGGGUAUGAAAUCUCCUGGCUUAACUAGGAGAGGUUAUCCAAUACUACCGGACUUGAGAGUGGUAGAGGAAGAUGGAAUUCCCGGUGUAGUGGUGAAAUGCGUAGAUAUCGGGAGGAACACCAGUGGCGAAAGCGAUCUUCUGGACCAUUUCUGACGCUCAGACGCGAAAGCUAGGGUAGUAAACGGGAUUAGAGACCCCGGUAAUCCUAGCCGUAAACGAUGUAAACUUGGCGUCGGUGGCUUAAACACCAUCGGUGCCGCAGCUAACGCGAUAAGUUUACCGCCUGGGGACUACGAUCGCAAGAUUAAAACUCAAAGGAAU